AGUCGAACGGGGGGCAACCCCAGUGGCGAACUGGUCAGUACAAGUUGGGUAACCUGCCUGGAAGUGGGGGACAACGUCUCGAAAGGGACGCUAAUACCGCAUGUGGUUCCGGGGGCUUCGGCUCCUGUGACUAAAGCAGCAGUGCGCUUCCGGAUGGGCCCGACUCCCAUUAGCUUGUUGGUGAGGUAACGGCUCACCAAGGCUACGAUGGGUAGGUGGUCUGAGAGGAUGGUCACCGACACGAGGACUGAGAUACGGCCUCGACUCCUACGGGGGGCAGCAGUCUAGAAGCUUCGACAAUGGGGGAAACCCUGAUCGAGCGACGCCGCGUGCAGGAUGAAGGUCCUUGGAUUGUAAACUGCUUUCGGCCGGAAGGAGGGCCCUGAUGGUGAAUCAGGGAUUGACCUACUGGCGGAAGAAGCCCCGGCUAACCUCGUGCCAGCAGCCGCGGUAAUACGAGGGGGGCAAGCGUUAUUCGGAUUUACUGGGCGUAAAGAGCGCGUAGGUGGCUUGGCAAGUCUGGUGUGAAAACGCUACCGCUUAACGGAGCGAUUGCGCUGGAAACUGCCAAACUUGAGUCCGCGAGAGGUCGGUAGAACUCCUGGUGUAGCGGUGGAAUGCUCAGAUAUCAGGAAGAAUACCUGAGGCGAAGGCGACCGACUGGCGUGGUACUGACACUGAGGCGCGAAAGCGUGGGGAG
rnacentral:rRNA from 1 species